CUAACACAUGCAAGUCGAGGGGUAAGGCUCUCUUCGGAGAGUACACGACCGGCGAACGGGUGCGUAACGCGUAUGCAACCUGCCUAUAUCUGGAACAUAGCCCCGAGAAAUCGGGAUUAAUUUUCCAUAAUAUCCUUUUGUGACAUCACUUUUGGAUUAAAGCUCCGGCGGAUAUAGAUGGGCAUGCGUGACAUUAGCUUGUUGGUGCGGUAACGGCGCACCAAGGCAAAGAUGUCUAGGGGGUCUGAGAGGAUGAUCCCCCACACUGGUACUGAGACACGGACCAGACUCCUACGGGAGGCAGCAGUGAGGAAUAUUGCGCAAUGGAGGAAACUCUGACGCAGCCAUGCCGCGUGAAGGAUGACGGCCCUAUGGGUUGUAAACUUCUUUUCUGCUUCAAGAAACAGUCGUACGUGUACGGCUUUGACGGUAGAGCAGGAAUAAGCAUCGGCUAACUCCGUGCCAGCAGCCGCGGUAAUACGGAGGAUGCAAGCGUUAUCCGGAUUCAUUGGGUAUAAAGCGUGCGCAGGCGGGUGGGUAAGUCAGAGGUGAAAGCCCGCAGCUUAACUGUGGAAUUGCCUUUGAUACUGCUCACCUUGAGUCCAGCUGAGGUAGGCGGAAUGUAGUAUGUAGCGGUGAAAUGCUUAGAUAUACUACAGAACACCGAUUGCGAAGGCAGCUUACCAAACUGGCACUGACGCUCAGGCACGAAAGCGUGGGGAGCGAACAGGAUUAGAUACCCCGGUAGUCCGCGCUGUAAACGUUGUGUACUAGGUGUUAGUGGCUUGUCCUCUAGUACCGAAGCUAACGCAUUAAGUACACCGCCUGGGGAGUACGCCCGCAAGGGUGAAACUCAAAGAAAUUGACGGGGGCCCGCACAAGCGGUGGAGCAUGUGGUUUAAUUCGAUGAUACGCGAAGAACCUUACCUGGGCUUGAACUGUACCCGACAGGUGUAGAGAUACACCCUCCUUCGGGCGGGUAUAGAGGUGCUGCAUGGUUGUCGUCAGCUCGUGUCGUGAGAUGUUGGGUUAAGUCCCGCAACGAGCGCAACCCUUACCCCUUGUUGCCAUCAGGUAAUGCUGAGCACUCUAGGGGAACUGCCGGUGACAAACCGGAGGAAGGUGGGGAUGACGUCAAAUCGUCACGGCCCUUAUGUCCAGGGCUACACACGUGCUACAAUGGCCGGUACAAAGAGUUGCGAUACCGCGAGGUGGAGCUAAUCUCAAAAAACCGGUCUCAGUUCAGAUUGUAGUCUGCAACUCGACUGCAUGAAGCUGGAAUCGCUAGUAAUCGCGGAUCAGCACGCCGCGGUGAUACGUUCCCGGGC
rnacentral:rRNA from 1 species